AGAGUUUGAUCAUGGCUCAGAUUGAACGCUGGCGGCAGGCCUAACACAUGCAAGUCGAGCGGUAGCACAGAGAGCUUGCUCUCGGGUGACGAGCGGCGGACGGGUGAGUAAUGUCUGGGAAACUGCCUGAUGGAGGGGGAUAACUACUGGAAACGGUAGCUAAUACCGCAUAACGUCGCAAGACCAAAGUGGGGGACCUUCGGGCCUCAUGCCAUCAGAUGUGCCCAGAUGGGAUUAGCUAGUAGGUGGGGUAACGGCUCACCUAGGCGACGAUCCCUAGCUGGUCUGAGAGGAUGACCAGCCACACUGGAACUGAGACACGGUCCAGACUCCUACGGGAGGCAGCAGUGGGGAAUAUUGCACAAUGGGCGCAAGCCUGAUGCAGCCAUGCCGCGUGUGUGAAGAAGGCCUUCGGGUUGUAAAGCACUUUCAGCGGGGAGGAAGGCGNCGAUUGACGUUACCCGCAGAAGAAGCACCGGCUAACUCCGUGCCAGCAGCCGCGGUAAUACGGAGGGUGCAAGCGUUAAUCGGAAUUACUGGGCGUAAAGCGCACGCAGGCGGUCUGUCAAGUCGGAUGUGAAAUCCCCGGGCUCAACCUGGGAACUGCAUUCGAAACUGGCAGGCUAGAGUCUUGUAGAGGGGGGUAGAAUUCCAGGUGUAGCGGUGAAAUGCGUAGAGAUCUGGAGGAAUACCGGUGGCGAAGGCGGCCCCCUGGACAAAGACUGACGCUCAGGUGCGAAAGCGUGGGGAGCAAACAGGAUUAGAUACCCUGGUAGUCCACGCCGUAAACGAUGUCGAUUUGGAGGUUGUGCCCUUGAGGCGUGGCUUCCGGAGCUAACGCGUUAAAUCGACCGCCUGGGGAGUACGGCCGCAAGGUUAAAACUCAAAUGAAUUGACGGGGGCCCGCACAAGCGGUGGAGCAUGUGGUUUAAUUCGAUGCAACGCGAAGAACCUUACCUGGUCUUGACAUCCACAGAACUUAGCAGAGAUGCUUUGGUGCCUUCGGGAACUGUGAGACAGGUGCUGCAUGGCUGUCGUCAGCUCGUGUUGUGAAAUGUUGGGUUAAGUCCCGCAACGAGCGCAACCCUUAUCCUUUGUUGCCAGCGGUUAGGCCGGGAACUCAAAGGAGACUGCCAGUGAUAAACUGGAGGAAGGUGGGGAUGACGUCAAGUCAUCAUGGCCCUUACGACCAGGGCUACACACGUGCUACAAUGGCAUAUACAAAGAGAAGCGACCUCGCGAGAGCAAGCGGACCUCAUAAAGUAUGUCGUAGUCCGGAUUGGAGUCUGCAACUCGACUCCAUGAAGUCGGAAUCGCUAGUAAUCGUAGAUCAGAAUGCUACGGUGAAUACGUUCCCGGGCCUUGUACACACCGCCCGUCACACCAUGGGAGUGGGUUGCAAAAGAAGUAGGUAGCUUAACCUUCGGGAGGGCGCUUACCACUUUGUGAUUCAUGACUGGGGUGAAGUCGUAACAAGGUAACCGUAGGGGAACCUGCGGUUG
rnacentral:rRNA from 1 species